AUAAAGAGCUCUUACGUUAACACAGUGAGCAGGCUAAUAUUCCCCAAGAGUUCUUAUCGACGAGAAGGUUUGGCACCUCGAUAGAAAGACAUGUCGAGUAUAAAACAGGUGAAUUGACAAGAAAAUCUCUACAACAAUGGAGAGAACUUGCAGCGAAGCUUGCUUUGACACAAUCUAACCAGUUCCGGUAACCGCAAUUAGAAAAACAAGCAAGAAUGUUCAAUGACUAGAAGGAGAGUUGUGUCAACAAUAAUCUUUCCACGAGCGCCCGUUAACUUGCUCUUUAUAUAAAAGAUGUCUAGCUGAAGUUAGUAUAUGGUGCUUGUCUACCGAAGGGUGUGACAAGCACCAAAGCUUCGGUUGCCCGCUUGGUGAACGUAGUUCAUGCCACAGUCCUUUGCCGCUAAGACUAUUUUAUGCAAAGAUACAAAAGGAGGGUGCUUGCAGUUCAAGGUGUAAGCACAAGGGUGUACACAUGAUGCAAGUUAAACACAUAGUCUGAGCUAAUUUGUAAAAAUUAG
rnacentral:ncRNA from 1 species